AGGUUGUAUUACAUAUAUAGACUACCUUCUACUAAAACUAUAAACAUAGGAUACUAUUUACAGGAAGUUAAAGUUUUAGCAGUUAUAUUUUUGGGAAAAUACAAAGUCCUUUAUUACAUAUUUUCUGCGAAAACACAGUUUUUUGCGUUUUGAUGGUUUAACCGCACUGCCUUUAUAGUUGUUGCAAUCUGCCUUGGUGGUGCAGCAUAAAAGACCUGUGUUUGUAAGGAGAAGUGAAACCAUUAACCUCAUUUCCUGUCGUUUUAACCGUCAUGAAACUGCCACUCCUCUAGACCUGUACUGUUUCCUUCCAGUGUCUGUAAACAACCUGAUGUUUUGAUUCAGCUUUAACAGUGAUUGGUGCAUCACUCUCUGUUCAGUAAUCUUCCAAAGAAGUAUGGAGCCAGUUAUUCUUCUUCUUGUGAUGUUAGCCGGAGUAUCGCAGGCUUUCUUUCCAGGUGCUGAAACUAAAUGUAAGGCCUCGCAGUCCACGUCUCUGUGCUCUGUUAACACCGGAGGAUCUGUGUCCAUCCAAGUUUUGACCAAUGACAGAGUUUUUCAUCACCAAUGGGACACUGAAGAUCACACACGUGGAGAAGAAUGAUUCAGGGCUAUACAAUGUGGAUAUCUUUCAACACGACGGCGUCCUCCUGAGAAACGUCAGUUUUAAACUGAAUGUGCAAGAAAACAUUUUGAUCAUCUUGAUCCCAGUCUGCUCUACAAUCGGGGCUCUACUGAU